rnacentral:rRNA from 1 species
UACGGAGGAUCCGAGCGUUAUCCGGAUUUAUUGGGUUUAAAGGGUGCGUAGGUGGCCUGUUAAGUCAGGGGUGAAAGACGGUAGCUCAACUAUCGCAGUGCCCUUGAUACUGAUGGGCUUGAAUGAACUAGAGGUAGGCGGAAUGUGACAAGUAGCGGUGAAAUGCAUAGAUAUGUCACAGAACACCAAUUGCGAAGGCAGCUUACUAUGGUUUUAUUGACACUGAGGCACGAAAGCGUGGGGACCAAACAGG